GGAGAAACAAAUUUAGGAAUUUUACAGCCAAAAACAAUUCCCAGAACCAAACCACAGGACUUGUCAAGUAAAGACAUUUGGAAGAUCCUACUGGGCACAGACACCGCAGCACAUUCAGGCAGCCUUGGGGACCAGAUCCUGGAUGCUGCUGCAGGAGUUGCUGCCCCUGCACCCUUUUGGAAUCCAAUGUGGUGGUGGUUGCUGUCCUCAACUCCUCAUGUUUUCCAAAUAUAUUCUAGGUGGUGCCCACUUCUUGGUAUCACUAGUUACCGAUUCACAGUCUGAAGAGCAGAGCCUAGACCCAUGCGCUAACUGCAAGGAGCCUGGAAAGGACUUAUUAUUGGCUAAUUUUACAGUCUACACUGGAACUCUACGUGGAUCAAAUGAUAAGAUUCUUCCCAAAGCUACCAUCUAAGUCAACACAGGUUGUUGGGUAGACAAAAGCAAGAGAAGAUGACCACAGGGCCUUGUCACAGAUGUAAUCGUAUCUUCUACUGAAGGACUCUACUAAAGCUGCCCGAGUCAACUCCAUCAAAGGGGUUCAUGAUUGCAAUAUGUGUUUAAAGGAGAAGAAUUUUUCUUAAAAUGGACAUUUCUUGGCAGUCACUCAAUAAUCAUCCUUAGUCUCAUAUUCUUCUCUCUUUCCCAAUAACUAAGUCUUAAUGUAAUUAUCU
rnacentral:lncRNA from 1 species